CAGCAGCCGCGGGAAUACGUAGGUGGCAAGCGUUGUCCGGAAUUAUUGGGCGUAAAGCGCGCGCAGGCGGAUAGGUCAGUCUGUCUUAAAAGUUCGGGGCUUAACCCCGUGAUGGGAUGGAAACUGCCAAUCUAGAGUAUCGGAGAGGAAAGUGGAAUUCCUAGUGUAGCGGUGAAAUGCGUAGAUAUUAGGAAGAACACCAGUGGCGAAGGCGACUUUCUGGACGAAAACUGACGCUGAGGCGCGAAAGCCAGGGGAGCGAACGGGAUUAGAUACCCCAGUAGUCCCUGUCUCUUAUACA
rnacentral:rRNA from 1 species